CUCCCCUUUCUUCCAAUCACAUCUUGUAGUGUGGCCACGUGUGUCAUGGCACGGGUGCAUAAUUCAUUGUUGCACUAUGAAAUAUUGUCAUUUAAAGGACCACUAUAUUGCUCUAUAGGGUCUUAGGAUCCCACCCACCCUCAGGGUCCCAUUCCCGCUGGGCUGAAGGGGGAGGAAGGGGAUAAAUGCUUACCAUUCUCCAGCGCCAGGCUCCCUCGGUGCUGGGGACUUUCCUCCCUCUUCCGACAUCAUCCAACAAAUGCGCAUGCACGGCAAGAGCUGCGUGUGCAUUCAAUCAGUCCAUAGGAAAGCAUUUCUCAAUGCUUUCCUAUGGACGUAAGCGUCUUCUCACUGUGAUUUUCACAGUGAGAAAAGUGGAAUUGCCUCUAGCGGCUGUCAAUGAGACAGCCACUAGAGGCUGGAUUAGCCCUAUUGUAAACAUAGCAGUUUCUCUGAAACUGCUAUGGUUACAGCUGCAGGGUUAACCCUAGAUGGACCUCGCACCCAGACCACUUCAUUGAGCUGAAGUGGUCUGGGUGCCUAUAGUGGUCCUUUAAUGUAAUUUGUGUAGUGCAUAGAUACAUUGGCUUCUUGGUAGAGCUGGUACUGUCAAUUCCAAAAGGGGUUAAUUUGAUUGUAUUGGAGGUCAGAAGGUUUACAACCUAAAUUCCUCUUUGAAGCUGGGACCCCAACAGAGCUACUCUGUAAGGUGUGAGAAGUCACACAUAAGUGGCCUGGAAAUCUGGUUUAAAUAUAAACUUGCAGGAGUUGUACAACCUUACUCCUGAGGUGUACCAAAAGAAAUUCAGGACUUUGCAGAAAUGUCUCACAGAGUUACGCAUCAUUUGUGGGAUGCCUGGCAACAGCAUUCAGACUGUGGACUACAGGACUGGAGAUUACCACUUUAAAAAGUUUGGACGAUCUGUUAAUAAAAGGACAGUUUUUGCAGCUCUGCCCAGCCGAUGUAUAUGAAUGGCUGCUAGACUGGAACACCAAAACAGCAUUGGAAGCGGAUAAGCUGGCAG